rnacentral:pre_miRNA from 1 species
AUUAGAAUCACCUGGGAAUCUUUUUAAAAUCCUGAUUUCUGUUUGAGGAUGAGGCCCAGAAAUCAGGAUUUUAAAAAGAUUCCCAGGUGAUUCUAAU